ACGAACGCUGGCGGCGUGCCUAAUACAUGCAAGUUGAGCGCUGAAGGUUGGUACUUGUACCGACUGGAUGAGCAGCGAACGGGUGAGUAACGCGUGGGGAAUCUGCCUUUGAGCGGGGGACAACAUUUGGAAACGAAUGCUAAUACCGCAUAAAAACUUUAAACACAAGUUUUAAGUUUGAAAGAUGCAAUUGCAUCACUCAAAGAUGAUCCCGCGUUGUAUUAGCUAGUUGGUGAGGUAAAGGCUCACCAAGGCGAUGAUACAUAGCCGACCUGAGAGGGUGAUCGGCCACAUUGGGACUGAGACACGGCCCAAACUCCUACGGGAGGCAGCAGUAGGGAAUCUUCGGCAAUGGACGAAAGUCUGACCGAGCAACGCCGCGUGAGUGAAGAAGGUUUUCGGAUCGUAAAACUCUGUUGGUAGAGAAGAACGUUGGUGAGAGUGGAAAGCUCAUCAAGUGACAGUAACUACCCAGAAAGGGACGGCUAACUACGUG
rnacentral:rRNA from 1 species